CUCCCAGUAGCCCGCGUAGGGUUUUCCCUCGGGACGGGAGGAGAGGAGAUAUUCGCCGGCAUCGUUCGAGACGAUGCCGGCAAC
rnacentral:tRNA from 1 species